UACGUAGGGGGCUAGCGUUGUCCGGAAUCAUUGGGCGUAAAGCGCGUGUAGGCGGUCCGGUAAGUCCGCUGUGAAAGUCGGGGGCUCAACCCUCGGAUGCCGGUGGAUACUGUCGGGCUUGAGUACGGAAGAGGCGAGUGGAAUUCCUGGUGUAGCGGUGAAAUGCGUAGAUAUCGAGAGGAACACCUGCGGCGAAGGCGGGUAGCUGGGCCGACACUGACGCUGAGGCGCGAAAGCCAGGGGAGCGAACGGG
rnacentral:rRNA from 1 species